rnacentral:misc_RNA from 1 species
GGUACUCACACCACAUCUUGAGCUCUUGACAGAACAACAACUCCGGGAGGUUUGUAACCUCAGGCAAUCGUGUCAGCAAGCAGAAGAUGCCUUAUCACAAGGAAUGGUAAAACUUCAUCAGAUUCUCGCUGAGGCUGUUGCAGCUGGUCAAUUAGGUGAAGGGAAUUACUCUCUUCCGCAGAUGGGGCCUGCCAUCGAGAAGUUGGAAGCUCUUGUUAGGUUCGUAAAUCAGGCAGAUCAUCUCCGGCAAGAAACACUUCAACAGAUGUCCCGCAUCCUGAAUACGCUCCAAGCAGCUCAGGGCUUACUCGCCUUGGGGGAGUACUUUGAACGGCUUCGUGUUCUAAGCUCACACUGGGCUACUCGUCUUCAUGAGCCGGCCUAAUGAAGCUAUAGAAGAUCCCUCAAUACACCAUUCGACGAGUUUUGCCUUCAGAAACUAUACUAUGUAAGCUAAAAUUUAGCUCUUGUUUAUGUCAAUAAAGCUCUCAAUAUGAAUAUAGGACAUUAUACUAGUUGUACAAAGGGUCUCCAAGAGUCUAUUGUGGCUUAUGUUUCCG